rnacentral:misc_RNA from 1 species
AACGAGUCAAAGCUCUUCUCCCUUUUCAACAAAUCUUCUCAUUUUUCUCCUUUUCUGGUUCCUCAGAUACUUUGAGGAAGUUGGUAGGGGGGGUGAUUUGAGCUAGAGAUCGGUCUUUUGGCUAUCUGUUUCGUCGUUAUAAGAUGCACUUCUGGUCAUCAUCAUACCAAAAUGCAGAGAUUUGUUUGUCUCUUACAUCUGGAUGGAUGCCAAGAAGUUUAUGCAGUUGGUCGAGGAGAAGAAGAAGAGAGCUCUUGAGAAGAAAGAAGGCCACUUGAAAUGGGAGCAAAAACUUGAAGCUUCAGCUAAAGUGAAGUCUGAUGCUGAAGCUGGAGAGAAAACCAAGGCAGCUAAGCAUAAAAGGAAAUCUGUCUCGGGGUCUGAUAGUGGGAGUGACACUGACAGUGAGUAUGAAAAGAAAAAAUCCACGAGAAAGUCCCAUAAGAAGCACAGGAAGCACCAUAGCUCAGAUUUGGUUGAUUUGGAUAGGAAGGACAAGAAGUCCAAGCGGAAGCCGAAGAGAAGGUCCUCUGAUUCCAGUGAUGAUAGCUGUAGGGAAUAUGAUGGUAAUUUAGAAGAAGAUAGAAGAAGAAAGAAGCGCGGCCACAAGAAGCAUAGGCAUCAUGAUAGAUACUCUGAUUCCUCCGACUCUUCAGAUGAUGAAGACGUGGGAAGAAAACACCAUUCAAAGCAUCACAAACGUCAUCGACGAUCACAACCGAAUGAAUCAGAGUCUUCCAGUGAUGAUGAUCAUGUUGCAGUUAGGAAACGAAGCAACUCAAAGCAUCAUAAACGUCAUGGGAGGUUGGACUCAGAUGCUUCUGUCUCUUCUAGCGAUGAAGAAAAAGUGAACCGUCGUAAUCAUGGAAAACACAAGAAACGUCAUCACAGACCCCAUAGUCACGACUCAAGGUCUUCGGAUCCUGAAGAUUUUAGUAGAUUCUUUGGUAAAUCUUCUGAUGAGAAUGAGGAAUUAGAUAGAAAAGAUAAGCACAGUAAGAAUCAUCAUCGACAUGGUCAUCACCAUCCCAACCAUACGCAUCGCCACUCAGUUGAAGUGUCGAAGGACAACCAUCAACCUCAUGACAGAAAGGAAAGAAAUGGCGAGCGAGUAGACCAUACUUCUGAGGUGCUCAAUGUAAGUGAUAACAGUGGUGCUCGUGUGACACAAAAUGCUUAGGAUGCUACCCAAUUUAUGUUAAUUUUCCAUUUUGUGGAGACUUAAAUGGCCAAGGCCAUUGGAGUUUUACAGUUGGACUGUAAUAUUCAUCUAAAACCCAUAUUUCCUACUGUUGAAUCUUUAAAGUGACUAUAGCA